rnacentral:rRNA from 1 species
UGGGGAAUAUUGGACAAUGGGCGAAAGCCUGAUCCAGCCAUGCCGCGUGAGUGAUGAAGGCCCUAGGGUUGUAAAGCUCUUUCACCGGUGAAGAUAAUGACGGUAACCGGAGAAGAAGCCCCGGCUAACUUCGUGCC